rnacentral:rRNA from 1 species
AUACGUAGGGGGCGAGCGUUGUCCGGAAUGAUUGGGCGUAAAGGGCGCGUAGGCGGCCCGGUAAGUCUGGAGUGAAAGUCCUGUUUUUAAGAUGGGAAUUGCUUUGGAUACUGUCGGGCUUGAGUGCAGGAGAGGUAAGUGGAAUUCCCAGUGUAGCGGUGAAAUGCGUAGAGAUUGGGAGGAACACCAGUGGCGAAGGCGACUUACUGGACUGUAACUGACGCUGAGGCGCGAAAGUGUGGGGAGCAAACAGGAUUAGAUACCCUGGUAGUCCACACUGUAAACGAUGAAUGCUAGGUGUAGGGGGUAUCGACCUCUUCUGUGCCGCAGUCAACACAAUAAGCAUUCCGCCUGGGGAGUACGGCCGCAAGGUUGAAACUUAAAGGAAUUGACGGGG